CAAGGCGUCCAACCCAAACCACGGCGUCCAGGAGUAGGAAGAAAUAAUUCCCGGCAUGCAAGCCUAAAAGCAGUGUGUGACCAAUGUAAUCUCCAAUCCAUGCAGGCCUAAGACCAUAAAGCCCAUGGAGAUAUCCAUGCAGCAACCUCCUUGGCGCGUCUUAAGCCAAGAGCUAAGCUCAGAAGCAAUGCAUGAGCUAAGCUCAGAAGCAAUGCAUGAGCAAAAGCAAUGGGCCCUAGCUCCAGUGCAAAUCCCAAGUCCUUCAACACUUGCCUUAGGCAUAUAGCUUUCACAUGCCCAAUCCACUGCAAUAGAAGGCAUCUCCCACACAUUGGGAUCAACGACCAAUUAAACACUAUCACGAGAUUAACAAUAGCUGCUAUAGCAGCCUACACGGGUGCAACCCCAACAACAAUCUCCCAGGCCCAUUCAUGCACCAACCCAGACACCAACAAUCUAUGUGAGUAAGAAGCAUGCUUCAGAAGCCCUAUUACAUGUGAAGCCUAGCAUAGAUAGACCAUUCCUUGCCGCAAGCCUAGCGUGCAGCUCCAAUAGGCCAACCCGCUUUAGUGCUUGCAUGCCCGACCAAGAUCUGCACCCUUUGCGCCUAGAUGAGCCCACAUGUUGGCCCUUGAAACU
rnacentral:lncRNA from 1 species